rnacentral:tRNA from 1 species
GCCGGCCUAGCUCAAUUGGUAGAGCAACUGACUUGUAAUCAGUAGGUUGGGGGUUCGAUUCCUACUGCCCCUGCCA